CAGAAGCGGGAGAAGGAAUGUGGAGUGACUGCUACUUUUGAUGCUAGUCGGACCACUUUUACAAGAGAAGGAUCAUUCCGUGUCACAACAGCCACUGAACAAGCAGAAAGAGAGGAGAUCAUGAAACAAAUGCAAGAUGCCAAGAAAGCUGAAACAGAUAAGAUAGUCGUUGGUUCAUCAGUUGCCCCUGGCAACACUGCCCCAUCCCCAUCCUCUCCCACCUCUCCUACUUCUGAUGCCACAACCUCUCUGGAGAUGAACAAUCCUCAUGCCAUCCCACGCCGGCAUGCUCCAAUUGAACAGCUUGCUCGCCAAGGCUCUUUCCGAGGAUUUCCUGCUCUUAGCCAGAAGAUGUCACCCUUUAAACGCCAACUAUCCCUACGCAUCAAUGAGUUGCCUUCCACUAUGCAGAGGAAGACUGAUUUCCCCAUUAAAAAUGCAGUGCCAGAGGUAGAAGGGGAGGCAGAGAGCAUCAGCUCCCUGUGCUCACAGAUCACCAAUGCCUUCAGCACACCUGAGGACCCCUUCUCAUCUGCUCCGAUGACCAAACCAGUGACAGUGGUGGCACCACAAUCUCCUACCUUCCAAGAGAGCUCAGAGGAAGUUUUACUCCGGAGAUAGUGCCCUGCUUCUACUGGAAGAACUACACGCUUUUCCUAUAAGGGUCUUUUUCUUUUUCUUUUUAAUAAACUUUCAUACUCAUAUGUACCAAA
rnacentral:sRNA from 1 species